AACGAACGCUGGCGGCAUGCCUUACACAUGCAAGUCGAACGGCAACAGGUCUUCGGAUGCUGACGAGUGGCGAACGGGUGAGUAAUACAUCGGAACGUGCCUAGUAGUGGGGGAUAACUACUCGAAAGAGUGGCUAAUACCGCAUGAGAUCAACGGAUGAAAGCAGGGGAUCGCAAGACCUUGUGCUACUAGAGCGGCCGAUGGCAGAUUAGGUAGUUGGUGGGAUAAAAGCUUACCAAGCCGACGAUCUGUAGCUGGUCUGAGAGGACGAUCAGCCACACUGGGACUGAGACACGGCCCAGACUCCUACGGGAGGCAGCAGUGGGGAAUUUUGGACAAUGGGCGAAAGCCUGAUCCAGCAAUGCCGCGUGCAGGAUGAAGGCCUUCGGGUUGUAAACUGCUUUUGUACGGAACGAAAAGCCCCGGGUUAAUACCCUGGGGUCAUGACGGUACCGUAAGAAUAAGCACCGGCUAACUACGUGCCAGCCGCCGCGGUAACAC
rnacentral:rRNA from 1 species